rnacentral:lncRNA from 1 species
CUGAUAUUUGCUCACUUGCUUUGCUCCCUCCAGCUGUUCCCAACUGCAGACCACUUAUUACACAUUGUUUGCUAUUUCCGCUGUUCCAGCCUUGCCUGGAAGGUAGCCAGAGGAAUCUGUGGCCUACAGAGCACUCAUUUCAGUACUUGUGGCCUUGACUUACAUAGGUCGAAGUCAAUGACUAGCCUCUUUGGGAAGUAAAGGGUGAAUAUGCCCAUAAUUUAAACUGAUGGGUUAAAAACAGCCUUAGCGAAUCAGCACCCUCUACAAAAAAGACCAGAAUUGCUUUGUUUUGUUCACACUUCUGGUUGCUUGUCUACAGAAUACUGGAAGAAAAAAGUCCGGUUCAGAACAACCGAAGCAAAAAUGCAAGCUGAUAAGAGUUUAUCAUCUACAGAGGAUCUUCAUGGCUGGUAGAACUCCAAGAUUAGUAAAAGCAAGGCCGAGUCUCACAGAUAAAUCAGAUUUUUGAACAGUCACAAGAAGAGAUAUGAAGGACACUGACCAGACUGUACCCCAAGUGUCUGUGAUGAGUCCAUGAUGAGAAGAAAGGAAGAGAUGGAGAAACAAUGAUACAGAAGAAGAAGGACAUUGUCAGAACAUAGUGGCUGAGAAUGUGCAUCCAUAUCAUGUCAAAAUACAGGUCUGUACAACUUUACUAAUGAUAUUACUGGCCAAAGUGUUUGUUUUAAUGCUAUGAAUAGCCAUAUUUCUAUUACAGACAGACUCACCAGCAUUGUGUUAUAACUGAAAACGCGAGUUAUAGAGACUUGUUGGACCCCAUUCUUAUCACAAAUGAUAUCCAGGUAGAAUCUCAAGGAGAACCCACUAACUUUCCACACGUGAAAAACAAAAGCUUACAUACUUAAGUUCCAGGAAUCUUUUAAUAUUUCAUGGAUCUCUAUCAAAAUCUCUGAAACAAA